AUGAGGGAGGGAGCGGCACAGGGAGUUUUCAUUCCAGAGGAAAUAAUCCAGACCAAGAACAAGCAGAUCAAACUAUGCAGCUCUGUGGCUGCCAAAUUGUGGUUUUUGACAGAUCUCUGCAUCAGGGAAGAUUACUCCCAAAAAGAGAUCUUGUGAGCUUUGAAGGCGAAACAUUGUGAGGAGGAACUGGACUUCAGGGCUGUGGUGACCAAUGAGGUGGUGCUGACAGUUGAACAAGGAGACCUGGGUCUGCAGAUGAGUGGUGAACUCUUCUCUGCCUCCUUCCAGGUGGUGGUGGUUGGGAGAGUCCCCACCCCUCCGAUGCAGAAGGACAGUGACAUCACUGCUGCUGUGUCAUCUGGAGAAGAUGGGCUGUCAAUUGAUGAACCAACCUCAAGCCAACCUGAAUUGUGUUAAUAAAUUUUGGACAUUUCAAGAGUUAGCUGGCCACGGUGUUCCUCUGUCAGGUACUUUCUCUUAUGGUGGCCAUGACAAUUUUGCUAAAAUGAUUGGUGAAGUAAAAGUACUAGAAUUCCCAAUGGUAGUAAAGAAUACACGGGGUCAUAGAGGCAAGCACCAUUUGGCUGAUGUAAGCCAUCUUAUUCACCAUGAAGCUCCAUACCUGUUUCAGAAGUAUGUGAAGGAAUCUCACGGACGGGAUGUGCGUGUCAUUGUCGUGGGAGGCCGUGUAGUUGGCACCAUGUUACGCUGUUCCACAGAUGGGCGGAUGCAGAGCAACUGCUCACUAGGCAGUGUGGGGAUGAUGUGCUCAUUGAGUGAACAAGGAAAGCAGCUGGCUAUCCAGGUGUCUAACAUUCUGGGAAUGGAUGUGUGCGGCAUUGACCUAUUGAUGAAAGAUGACAGCUCCUUCUGUGUCUGCGAGGCCAAUGCAAAUGUAGGUUUCAUCGCCUUUGAUAAGGCUUGUAAUCUAGAUGUAGCUGGUAUCAUAGCGGACUAUGCCGCCUCCCUUCUGCCCUCUGGCCGGCUCACCCGGCGCAUGUCCCUGCUCUCCGUGGUGUCCACGGCCAGUGAGACUAGUGAGCCGGAGCUGGGUCCCCCUGCCAGCACUGCUGUCGACAACAUGAGCGCAAGUUCCAGCUCUGUCGACAGUGACCCUGAAAGCACGGAGCGAGAGCUGCUCACCAAGCUCCCAGGGGGCCUGUUCAACAUGAACCAGCUGCUAGCCAGUGAGAUCAAACUCCUGGUGGAGUGACUCCACCAGCCAAUAACUAACCAACAAAACCCUUGUAAAAUUUUCUUUUCAGUUCUUUUUUUCUUUUUUAACCAACUUGCAAUGCUGUUCAUGUAAGAUGCUUAGGAGGAUGAGAGAAAAUGUGUAAGAUUAUUUGGAGAGAAAAGGGGAAAUAAAUGAGACCUCUGCUGGUAACAUAUGCUGACUUUCAUUUGCAGACACUAC